UGAGCAAUCUGCCCUUCUCAUCGGAAUAAGCGUUGGAAACGACGUCUAAUGCCGAAUACGACCUCCUUUCGCAUGAUCGGAGGUGGAAAGCUCCGGCGGAGAAGGAUGAGCUCGCGGCCUAUCAGCUAGUUGGUGUGGGUAACGGCCCACCAAGGCGACGACGGGUAGCCGGCCUGAGAGGGUGACCGGCCACAUUGGGACUGAGACACGGCCCAGACUCCUACGGGAGGNAGCG
rnacentral:rRNA from 1 species